AGAAGACCCACUUCUACUUACUCCGGCCACUCUUCUUACACAGAAGACCGGGAUUACCUAUGCUCCUCCUGGAGAAUUCAAUACCAAAGACCUGUUCAAACGUCAAAGGAGACAAGUUCAAAGCCUUGCAAACACCUUUUGGGACAGAUGGAAAAGACAAUACCUUUCUACCCUGCAGUCAAGGAGCAAGUGGCAAGUUGCCAAACCCAACUUAAAACCAGGUGACAUUGUGCUCGUCAGAGAUUGCCAGUCACAACGCAACGAAUGGCCUUUAAGUCUUGUCACCAAGACGUUCCCAAGCAAGGAUGGGAAGGUUCGUAAGGUUGAGGUCAAGAUCUGUAAGCGAGGAGAGACUAAGUUGUUCCUCAGACCAGUGACUGAACUAUUCUUAUUGUUAUCUGUUUAGAGUUUAAAAUAUGGUACCAGUGAUACCAGACGGGGAGUGUCAUGCCUUCAGCAUUUGCUUUGUGUAGAUCUGAUUACUUUUACUACAGAAAGUUGUAUUAUUGCCCCAUCUGGUGGUCAGUCCCAUCAAUUAAUUUGACCCUCAUAGCCUCUUGUAGCCAGUCUUGCAAUGCAUUCUGGGAUGAAGAAGCUGGGAUCAGCUUUUCUACUUCCCUCAUGGUCCCAGACAGUCAUGUUUUACAUGGGUCCAACUCUCAUAUAGCAUUCGAUGAAAACCGAUACCUGAGAACUUUAUCAAAUGCUGCAAACAUACAGUAACGACUUGCAAGCAGGAAAUGAGUAAAGUGCAAAGCCUUGAGGAAUACUAGCACUGAGUCUGGAACUACCUGACCAGUCACCAAAGGAGCAGCAACAGUGCAUUAUCCGCCACAAGGAUGCCGUCACUCUGAGUUUAUCAGUGUCACCCAAUGUGAUAGGACCAGGCCUUGAAGAGGAGAGAACACAGCCUGCUCUUCAAGCAUGUAACUCUAGUGCACCAUAUAAGGAGCAUGUGUGAGGGGAUGUGAUCAUAUGGUGUCAUAGUUUAUACUGUUGGAAAGUUCUUAUUGGUGCUUAAGGGUAUGUGGUGGAGUCUAAUGACAUGGCUGAGGUCUUAUUGGAAUAUAAAGUACAUUUGGGAGUGAACUGAUUGGCUCUUAAGGAGCAUGCGGGAAGGCUAUGGUGGCAUGGGGAUGGCCUGGCACUAAAUGGUCAUAUAGGGAAGUGUUAUGGAGAUAGUGUGAUUGACACUUAAAGGGCAUUUGCAGGUUAUCUGAUUAAGGAGCUUGUACGGAGUCUGAUGGCAUGAGAUAUGUUAUUGCUAUGCAGUCAAUAGAUCUACAGUGUCUAGUUAGACAGUCACUAGGUUGAAACCAUAUGGUCGGCAUGCAUUAGGUCAGCAUGGUCAAAAGGUCAACAUGGUCAUUAGGUCAACCUAUGAAAGGUCGACAGUGCUUAUGGUUGACAGGUACAAGAGGUCGACAGGUUCAAGGGGUCGACAAGCCAAUGGUCGACACACAUAUGGUUGACUUGAGUUUUGUUGGGGGGAUUCACUUUUUUCAACUUCUUCAUACUUUACCAUUUACGUUGACUAUGAUUGCGAAUAGUAACCUUACCCAAAGGGGUCCACGUGCUCAGACGCCGAAAACAACACAAAAAAAAUGUAAAAAUGCUGUGUCAACCUUUUCCUGUGUUUACCAUUUUCCAUGUUGACCUUUUCAUGCGUCCCUCCUUUGUACCUGUCGACCUUUUCCUGUGUCUGCUUUUCAUAGGUUGACCUAAUGACCAUGUCAACCUUUUCACUGCUGACGAUAUAGUCUCGACCUAAUGAAUGUAGACCUUCUUGAAUGUAUACCUUCUGCUGUAGAUCUAUAGAUCCAUAACCAUUUUAUUAUAUUAAAAAGGUUUUCAUGCACUAUGUAGCGUUCCCUCUAUGUUUCAGCCUCCAUCAAGAUAAAAUAAGGAUAAUUUCAGAAAUGUAUUAGUGUAUUAUAUGCUUAUG